rnacentral:rRNA from 1 species
GGGCCCGCACAAGCGGAGGAACAUGUGGUUUAAUUCGAUGAUACGCGAGGAACCUUACCCGGGCUCGAACGGCAGUGGAAUGAGUGUGAAAGCAUUCAGCCAGCAAUGGCCGCUGUCGAGGUGCUGCAUGGUUGUCGUCAGCUCGUGCCGUGAGGUGUCGGCUUAAGUGCCAUAACGAGCGCAACCCUUAUCUUUAGUUACCAUCAGGUCAAGCUGGGGACUCUGGAGAGACUGCCACCGUAAGGUGUGAGGAAGGUGGGGAUGACGUCAAAUCAGCACGGCCCUUACGUCCGGGGCGACACACGUGUUACAAUGGGGGGGACAAAGGGUCGCUACCUGGCAACAGGAUGCAAAUCUCUAAACCCUCUCCCAGUUCGGAUCGGAGUCUGCAACUCGACUCCGUGAAGCUGGAUUCGCUAGUAAUCGCGCAUCAGCCAUGGCGCGGUGAAUACG